GACGAACCGUGCAAACGUUAUUCGGAAUCACUGGGCUUAAAGCGCGUGUAGGCGGCCCGGCACGUCCGUCGCUGAAAUCCCCCGGCUCAACCGGGGAAGGGGCGCGGAUACGACCGGGCUGGAGGGGGGUAGGGGGCGCCGGAACUCACGGUGGAGCGGUGAAAUGCGUUGAGAUCGUGAGGAACGCCCGUGGCGAAAGCGGGCGCCUGGACCUUGCCUGACGCUGAGACGCGAAAGCCAGGGGAGCGAACGGG
rnacentral:rRNA from 1 species